rnacentral:rRNA from 1 species
UACGGAGGGGGCUAGCGUUGUUCGGAAUUACUGGGCGUAAAGCGCGCGUAGGCGGGCUGUUAAGUCGAGGGUGAAAUCCAGGGGCUCAACCCCGGAACUGCCUUCGAUACUGGCAGCCUAGAGGUCGGGAGAGGUGAGUGGAAUGCCGAGUGUAGAGGUGAAAUUCGUAGAUAUUCGGCGGAACACCCGUGGCGAAGGCGGCUCACUGGCCCGAUACUGACGCUGAGGUGCGAAAGCGUGGGGAGCAAUCAGG